CACUAGUGGCUCUACCUGCUAGUGCAUCUCAUCUGAUCUCUUCAGCUGAGCAGGGCUGGGUCUGGUCAGUACUUGGAUGGGAGAGUGCUGGGAAUACCAGGUGCCACAGUGC
rnacentral:rRNA from 1 species